CCCGGAAGCCGAAGCCCGGUUGGGAGGAAGCAGCUGAGACCCGGCCAACAAACGGGGUUAAUUUAGCCAGAAAAGCGGGCGGGAAGGGCUGUAGGGUACUUGUCAAUUCGCCGCCAUGAACGUGGUUUUUGCUGUGAAGCAGUACAUUUCCAAAAUGAUAGAGGACAGCGGGCCUGGUAUGAAAGUACUUCUCAUGGAUAAAGAGACGACUGGCAUAGUGAGUAUGGUCUACACACAAUCGGAGAUUCUACAGAAGGAAGUGUACCUCUUUGAACGCAUUGAUUCUCAAAAUCGAGAGGUCAUGAAACACCUGAAGGCAAUUUGUUUUCUUCGACCUACAAAGGAGAAUGUGGAUUAUAUGAUUCAGGAGCUCCGAAGACCCAAAUACACUAUAUAUUUCAUUUAUUUCAGUAAUGUGAUCAGCAAGAGUGACGUGAAGUCAUUGGCUGAAGCUGAUGAACAGGAAGUUGUGGCUGAGGUUCAGGAAUUUUAUGGUGAUUACAUUGCUGUGAACCCACAUUUGUUUUCCCUCAAUAUUUUGGGUUGCUGCCAGGGUCGAAAUUGGGAUCCAGCCCAGCUAUCUAGAACAACCCAAGGGCUUACAGCUCUCCUUUUAUCUCUGAAGAAGUGUCCCAUGAUUCGUUAUCAGCUCUCAUCAGAGGCAGCAAAGAGACUUGCAGAGUGCGUUAAGCAAGUGAUAACUAAAGAAUAUGAACUGUUUGAAUUCCGUCGGACAGAGGUUCCUCCAUUGCUCCUUAUUUUAGAUCGCUGUGAUGAUGCCAUCACCCCAUUGCUAAACCAGUGGACAUAUCAGGCCAUGGUCCAUGAACUACUAGGCAUAAACAACAAUCGGAUUGAUCUUUCCAGAGUGCCGGGGAUCAGUAAAGACUUAAGAGAAGUGGUCCUAUCUGCUGAAAAUGAUGAAUUCUAUGCUAAUAAUAUGUACCUGAACUUUGCUGAGAUUGGUAGCAAUAUAAAGAAUCUCAUGGAAGAUUUUCAGAAGAAGAAACCAAAAGAACAGCAAAAACUAGAAUCAAUAGCAGACAUGAAGGCGUUUGUUGAGAAUUAUCCACAGUUCAAGAAAAUGUCUGGGACUGUUUCAAAGCAUGUGACAGUGGUUGGAGAACUGUCUCGAUUGGUCAGUGAGCGGAAUCUGCUGGAGGUUUCAGAGGUUGAGCAAGAACUGGCCUGUCAAAAUGACCAUUCUAGUGCUCUCCAGAAUAUAAAAAGGCUUCUGCAGAACCCCAAAGUGACAGAGUUUGAUGCUGCCCGCCUGGUGAUGCUUUAUGCUUUACAUUAUGAGCGACACAGCAGCAAUAGCCUGCCAGGACUAAUGAUGGACCUCAGGAAUAAAGGUGUUUCUGAGAAGUAUCGAAAGCUCGUGUCUGCAGUUGUUGAAUAUGGUGGUAAACGAGUCAGAGGAAGUGACCUCUUCAGCCCCAAAGAUGCUGUAGCUAUCACCAAACAAUUCCUCAAAGGACUGAAGGGAGUAGAAAAUGUAUAUACACAGCAUCAACCUUUCCUACAUGAAACCCUGGAUCAUCUCAUCAAAGGAAGGCUUAAGGAAAGCCUAUAUCCUUAUCUAGGCCCCAGCACACUCAGAGACAGAUGUUGAUUGAAUGCUUUCAGUAUGUCAAGAGCUGUUGUAGAUGCUGGCGAUAUAGAAGUGACAGGAAAGACAAGAAUUGCCUCUUGUCUCUGAUAAAGGCAAGCAACUUUUUCAUUUGGUGAGGAAAUGGAGCUAUAUGAUCAUGCAUUCCAGAAUCAGUCAAUUCAAAAAGGAAGUACUUUUCAUGUUUAUAGAAAUGUAGUAGAAGCUUGUUGCUACAGCUUAUAUUUUGUUUCUGUGAAGCAGCAGUCCUUUUUCAUUGGCCUUUUUUCCUGCAGUAAAUGCUCAUAAGAACUGUGUACCAUUUGUAAGUAUGUUCAAAAAUUACAAUUUUAGCCGUAAGUGUAAUGCUCCACAAAAUAGAUAAAAUGUUGCCUUUUGAAAGUUUGUGUUUCCACCUAACUUAACCACAUAUAGAAAUAAUGUUUAAAAUUCUCAAUAAGGCGGGCAAUGUGGCUCAUGCCUGUAAUCCCAACACUUUAAGAGACUGAGGUGGGCGGAUCAGAGGUCAGGAGUUCGAAACUAGCCUGGCCAACGUAGUGAAACCUUGUGUCUACUAAAAAAAAAUACAAAAAUUAGCCGGGUGUGGUGGCAGGCAUGGUGGCAGACUCCUGCAGUCCCAGCUACUUGGGAGGCUGAGGCAGUAGAAUCGGUUGAACCCGGGAGGCAGAGGUUGUAGUGAGCCAAGAUUGCACCACUGCAGUCCAGCCUGGGUGACAGAGUGAGACUCCGUUAAAAAAAAAAAAAAAAAACCUCAACAAACUUGGUAUUGAAGGAACAUACCUCAAAAUAAUAAGAGCCAUCUAUUCCCGGUACUCUGGGAGGCCGAGGCAGGCGGAUCAUGAGGUCAGGAGAUCGAGACCAUCCUGGCUAACACGGUAAAACCCUGUCUCUACUAAAAAUACAAAAAAUUAGCCGGGCGUGGUGGUGGGUGGCUGUAGCCCCAGCUACUCAGGAGGCUGAGACAGGAGAAUGGCGUGAACCCGGGAGGCAGAGCUUGCAGUGAGCCAAAAUCGAGCCACUGCUCUCCAGCCUGGGGGACAGAGCGAGACUCCGUCUCAAAAAAAAAAAAGAGCCGUCUAUGACAAACCCACAGCCAACAUCAUACUGAAUGGGCAAAAGCUGGAAGCAUUCCCCUUGAAAACCGGUACAAGGCAAGGAUGCCCUCUCUCACCACUUCUAUUCAACAGAGUAUUGGAAGUCCUAGCCAGAGCAAUCAGGCAAGAGAUAGAAAUAAAGUGCAUCCAAAUAGGGAAACAGGAAGUUAAACUGUUUUUAGACGACAUGAUUCUGUAUCUAGAAAACCCCAUAGUCUCAACUCAAAAGCUCCUUCAGCUGAUAAACAACUUCAGCAAAGUUGCAGGAUACAAGUCAAUGUACAAAAAUCACUAGCAUUCCUAUACAGCGACAACAACCAAGCUGAAAGCCAAAUCAGAAAGCAAUCCCAUUCACAACUGCCACUAAAAAAAUAAAAUACCUAGGAAUACAGCUAACCAGGAAGGUGAAAGAGCUCUACAAUGAGAAUUACAAAACACUGUUCAAAGAAAUUAGAGAAGCCACAAACAAAUGGAAAACAUCCCAUGCUCAUGGAUAGGAAGAAUCAAUAUCAUUAAAAUGGCUAUACUGCCCAAAGCAGUUUACAGAUUCAAUGCUAUUCCUACCUAACUACCAAUGACAUUCUUCACAGAACUAGAAAAAAUUAUUUUAAAAUUCAUGUGGAACCAAAAAAAAGCCCAAAUAGCCAAGGCAAUCCUAAGCAAAAAGAACAAAGCUGGAAGAAUCACGUUACCCAACUUCAAACUAUGCUACAAGCCUACAGUGACCAAAACAGCAUGGUAUGGGUACAAAAACAGGCACAUAGACCAAUGGAACAGAAUAGAGAGCCCAGAAAUAAGGCCUCACAUCUAUGACCAUCUGAUCUUUGACAAAGCUGACAAAAACAAGCAAUGGGGAAAAGACUCAUUCAAUAAAUGGUGCUGAAAUAACUGACUAGCCAUAUGCAAAAGAUUGAAGCUGGACCCCUUCCUUAUACCAUAUACAAAAAUUUCAACUCAAGAUUGAUUAAAGACAAAUGUAAAACCCAAAACUAUAAAAACCCUGGAAGACAACCUAGGUAAUACCAUUCUGGACCUAGGAACAGGCUAAGAUUUCAUGACAAAAAAACUAUGCAUCUGAGAAAGGUCUAAUAUCCAGCAUCUAUAAAGAAUUUAAACAAAUUUACAAGAGAAAAACAACUUCAUUAAAAUAUGGGAGGCCGAGGCAGGUUGGAUCACCUAAUGUCAGGAAUUCGAGACCAGCCUAGCCAACAUGGUGAAACCCUGUCUCUACUAAAAAUACAAAAAAUUAGCCACGAGUGGUGGCUGGCACCUGUAAUCAUGCCACGGGAGGCUGAGGCAGGAGAAUCACUUGAACCCGGGAGAUGGAGGUUGCUGUGAGCUGAGAUUGUGCCAUUGCACUCCAGCCUGGGCAACAAGAGCAAAACCCUGUCGCAAAAAAAAAAAAAAGUGGGCAAAGGACAUGAACAGCUACUU